GACGCCCGCUUUCUUCUUUCCUAAUACAUGCAAGUUGAGCGAUGAAGAUUGGUGCUUGCACCAAUUUGAAGAGCAGCGAACGGGUGAGUAACGCGUGGGGAAUCUGCCUUUGAGCGGGGGACAACAUUUGGAAACGAAUGCUAAUACCGCAUAACAACUUUAAACAUAAGUUUUAAGUUUGAAAGAUGCAAUUGCAUCACUCAAAGAUGAUCCCGCGUUGUAUUAGCUAGUUGGUGAGGUAAAGGCUCACCAAGGCGAUGAUACAUAGCCGACCUGAGAGGGUGAUCGGCCACAUUGGGAAUGAGACACGGCCCAAACUCCUACGGGAGGCAGCAGUAGGGAAUCUUCGGCAAUGGACGAAAGUCUGACCGAGCAACGCCGCGUGAGUGAAGAAGGUUUUCGGAUCGUAAAACUCUGUUGGUAGAGAAGAACGUUGGUGAGAGUGGAAAGCUCAUCAAGUGACGGUAACUACACAGAAAGGGACGGCUAACUACGUG
rnacentral:rRNA from 1 species